AUGAAUCCAGUGCAGCUGCCGGUCCUCCUCCUCCUCAUGAUAUUGAGUGCGCCGGCAGCUAGCCGCCAGGCCACGGCGAGCCCCCCACCGGACCCGGUGCAGUGCUCGUCUGGUGAUGGCAAAGCUGACUGCACAGUCUCAAGCGCGUACGGCGUGUUCCCGGACCGGUCGACGUGCCGCGCCAGCGCCGUGCUGUACCCUUCCUCCGAGGAGGAGCUGGUGCGCGCGGUGGCGAACGCCACGGCCACCAAGACCAAGAUGAAGGUGACCACCAGAUACUCCCACAGCAUGCCGAAGCUUGCAUGCCCCGGCGCCGGCGAUGGCCGGGGCCUCGCCAUAAGCACCAGGUGGCUUAACCGCGUCGUGGGCGUGGAUGCGCCGCGGAUGGAGAUGACGGUGGAGAGCGGCAUCACGCUGCGGGAGCUCAUCGCGGCGGCUGCCGACGGCGAGCUCGCGCUGCCCUACUCGCCGUACUGGUGGGGCCUGACGGUCGGCGGCAUGCUCGGCACGGGCGCGCAUGGCAGCUCGCUCUGGGGGAAAGGCAGCGCCAUCCACGAGUACGUCGUUCGGAUGCGCAUUGUCACGCCCGCUCCGGCCGCCGACGGGUACGCCACGGUGCGAGUGCUCACGUCCGCCGACCCGGAGAUGGACGCCGCGAAGGUCUCGCUCGGCGUCCUUGGUGUCAUCUCGCAGGUGACCCUAGCGCUACAACCUCUGUUCAAGCGCACAACUACGUUCAUCGAGCGGGACGACGAUGACCUCGCGGAGCGGGUUCCCGAGUUCGGUUACGAGCACGAAUUCGCUGACAUCACCUGGUACCCGGGUCUAGGGCGAGCGGUGUACCGCAUGGAUGACAGGCUGCCCAUGAACGCUUCUGGUGAGGGUGUCUUCGACUUCAUUGGCUUCCGCCCCACCUCGACCCUGCUGAUUGGAGCUAACCGACUGGCUGAGGAGCUGUCGGAGCAGGCGGACGACGGCAAUAGUAAGUGCCUGACGUCGAGGGUGAUCCGCACAACGCUCUCGGCGGCUGGGUACGGCCUAGCACGGAGGAGAGGCUGGCCGUUCACGGGGUAUCCGGUGAUAGGGCGGCAAGACCGGAUGCAGGCGUCGGGUGGCUGCUUGACAGCGCCAGAGGACGGACUCAGGACGACCUGCCCCUGGGACCCCCGCGUGAGGGGCACCGGCUUCUUCCACCAGACCGCCUUCAGCAUGCCCGUGAGCCGCGCCAGGGCAUUCAUCGAGGAGGUCCGACAGCUGCAUGACCUAAAUCCGGAGUCUCUCUGCGGCAUCGACCUCUACAACGGCAUCCUAAUGCGCUAUGUCAAGUCAUCCACCGCGUACCUCGGUAAGUCGGCAGUGCGCGGGGAGUCGGCCGACAUGGUGGAGUUCGACAUGACCUACUACCGCAGCCGCGACCCAAGGAGGGCGCGCCUCUACGAGGACGUCCUUGAGGAGAUCGAGCAGAUAGGGAUAUUCAAGUACGGCGGGCUGCCGCACUGGGGAAAGAAUCGCAAUAUCGCUUUUGUCGGCGCGUCUCGCAAAUACCCCAAAAUGCACGAGUUCCUGCUUGUCAAGGACGCCUACGACCCGCAUGGCCUCUUCUCCAGCGAUUGGAGUGACAUGAUGCUCGGCAUUGUUGGUGACACACCGACGAAUAUCGCACCUGGGUGCGCGCUAGAAGGAAUGUGCGUGUGCUCGCAGGACGUGCACUGCGCGCCGGAACAAGGCUACGUCUGCCGGCCCGGUAAGGUCCACAUGAAUGCCAGAGUCUGCACCAAAGUGUAG
rnacentral:rRNA from 1 species